ACUGAUGUUUCUUGUUUGUAGAUCACCUCCCUUGUGACUCUCCAGUUGCUGGCCGUGGUUGGCAACAAUGACCAGCUUGAUGGACCCCGAUACAAAUGUACCGUAUCUCUGGACUUCAUCAGAGCUAUUGCCCGGACUGUGAACUUCGACAUAAUAAAGUACUUGUACGAUUUCUUGUGAAAACAAGCUUCACAGCCAUAUGGACACUGUGACAAUGACUAAGGCAAGCUGUGUUCAUCUCUCUACUUAGCUGGCCAGAAUGAAGAGUAUUUUGGCUCUUUUGGAUUUGUCCAAACAGGUGCUGGCCCAGCAUGGAUUCUGAUGAAAAUAUUCUGAUUGGUCUGGGUAGAUCUGAGCAGAGGACUAUUUACCGGGGACCCUGGAGUAUUUGGAAGCAAUGUGUUAAUUAUAAACAGCAGGGUUUGAGCACAAUCUGUUCUACUCUUAAUGAUGUUAUCUUAACACUGAAAUUGCCUGAAACCCAUUUACUUAGGACUGCAUUUUGCUCUAUGAACUCUCCCCAGUGCUUUGAACAUGGCAGCAGCCCUUGUUUGUAUGCCCAGUCUUUUCACUUCCUCUCCACAGGAAUCUUUCCAAUUGCCUGCCAAAGUAGCUUUUCCUGAGGCUACCAUUUUAGGAGAGUGGAGUAGUGAAAUACAAUAAAUAUAAGAAAAUAUUCAAAAACAAGCUGGUAUAAAUACUUUCUCUUCAGUCAUUUGUAGGCAGAGUGUUACACUGUUACAUGGAGAUCACAAUGAUUGGGAACUCCCAAUUAAUCAUCAUACUGUCCUUUUUCAGACCAUUCAUAAAUGUUAACUACGAAUCUAUUUUUAUGAUCUUGCUUUUAAAAACUCAUUGAUUCAUGAAAUUCUAACCUGAUGUUGAACUUGAAAGUUUCUUUUUUUUGAACAUUUUAAAUUCCCUUUAAACUCAUCCAAUUCUGUAGAGUGCUAAUUAUAAUGCUGUUUUAAAGAAUAUAAUUUAAGAUGCACACUGUAGUGGUUUUUUUAACAGUGUCUGUCCUGUAGAGAAUUGUGGCACAGCUGCCGUUCCAUCAGAAAGAGAGAGGUUCAACAGUUGACAAAGUAUUCCUGUAGUGGUUGCCCAAGCAAGGUGUAAUAAUGAAUAAUCAAUGUAGUUCUCUAACAGCACAAAGCUUUGACUUUGGAAAUAUAUGAUGGAAUACAAUGAAACUAUAUUUGUCUCCAAUUUACAAGCAGAGGAGUCCCAGCUGCUGUUACCUUUAUAGAGUAUUGAAAUCCACUGACCCACUUAAGGAUUAUUGUCUUCAUAAAUCAAAAGUUUUUUUCACCAUCUUGAAGACUCAGGGCCCCACAGCCUGUUACUUGGUUAUUUUGUUCCUUAAUGCUUGCCUUUGACUCUUUAAUAGUAUAAGACCAUGCUACGUCAUGUGUUGACCACUAUGGAUUUCUAAAAAGAAAAAUACACACUUGUCUUGAUAUUGGAGAUGGUCAGAUACCCUGAACAUGUGUAGCUCUUUCUCACUUUUUUUUUCCAAUUGUGAAUGUGUAGCCAGGCUUCUGCUUCUGGAUUUGGACUCAGAUGAAGGAGUUCCAGGUGAAUCUAAGCAACAGAAGCAUCCUUCUGGCCAAGCUGUCAUUUCCCUCCUCAGGAGAAUGUGAAAGGGCAGCAGUGAGUCAUCUCUGUGAUCCGUUUUCCUUCCGACUGCUGAGCUACAUCAAACUCUGCACCUGUCCAUGAGGUGGCAACAUUUGUCACACUUGCUGAAAUAAAUGGAUGCAAAUACAUGACCUGUUUCAAAAUGUUUAUUGCCUACUUUUGUUUUUACUAAUAAAAAUGUAUGCAAGUUGUACUUGGGACUAAACUUUA